rnacentral:rRNA from 1 species
AUUGAACGCUGGCGGCAGGCCUAACACAUGCAAGUCGAGCGAGCGGCGGACGGGUGAGUAAUGUCAGGGAAACUGCCAGAUGGAGAGGGAUAACUACUGGAAACGGUAGCUAAGAACGCAUAUGAUACGAACGGCAACGAUGGGAUUAGCUAGUAGGUGGGGUAACGGCCAACCUAGGCGACGAUCCCUAGCUGGUCUGAAGGGAUGACCAGCCACACUGUAACUGAGACACGGUCCAGACUCCUACGGGAGGCAGCAGUGGGGAAUAUUGCACAAUGGGCGAAACCCUGAUGCAGCCAUGCCGCGUGUGUGAUGAAGGCCUUCGGGUUGUAAAGCACUUUCAGCGGGGAGGCGGUACCCGCAGAAGAAGCACCGGCUAACUCCGUGCCAGCAGCCGCGGUAAUUC